AACGCACGAGACCUGCGGACCUGCGGAAGGAUCAUUAAUGAAUUAUAGGGCUUCUCUUUAGAAGUUCCGCCCAUUCAUUUUUCAACCCUGUGCACACACUAUUCUUUUUUACACCUUUUUAACUCGUAAUAGUUGAAGAAUGUAAUCAGUCUCUUAAUUGAGCAUAAAAUAUAGUCAAAACUUUCAACAAUGGAUCUCU
rnacentral:misc_RNA from 1 species